rnacentral:rRNA from 1 species
CAGUCGCCACGGUAAUACGAGGGGGGCAAGCGUUGUUCGGAAUUAUUGGGCGUAAAGGGCGCGUAGGCGGUUUGGCAAGUUUGGUGUGAAAUCUUCGGGCUCAACUCGAAGUCUGCACCGAAAACUGCCGGGCUUGAGUAUGGGAGAGGUGAGUGGAAUUUCCGGUGUAGCGGUGAAAUGCGUAGAUAUCGGAAGGAACACCUGUGGCGAAAGCGGCUCACUGGACCAUUACUGACGCUGAGGCGCGAAAGCUAGGGGAGCAAACAGGAUUAGAUACCCCAGUAGUCCCUGUCUCUUAUAC